rnacentral:rRNA from 1 species
CCCUUAGAUGUUCUGGGCCGCACACGCGCUACACUGAAGGAGGCAGCGUGUACUCCUGGAUCGAAAGAUUUGGGUAACCCUCGAAUCUCCUUCGUGCUAGGGAUUGAGGUUUGCAAUUAUCCUUCAUGAACGAGGAAUUCCCAGUAAGUGCAAGUCAUAAGCUUGCGCUGACUACGUCCCUGCCCUUUGUACACACCGCCCGUCGCUACUACCGAUUGAAUGAUUUAGUGAGGACUUCGGACUGGGACCGAUGCGGCUUUCGGGCUGCGUCGGUAUUCUGGAAAGAUGUCCAAACUGUAUCAUUUAGAGGAAGUAAAAGUCGUAACA